UUGCUUACUUCAGCAGCACAUAUACUAAAAUUGGAAUGAUACGGAAGAUUAGUAGGGCCCCUGUGCAAGGAUGACACGCAAAUUCAUGAAGCGUUCCAUAUUUUU
rnacentral:snRNA from 1 species